AGUGGGCUAGGAUAGAAACAAUAUGGGGCCAUUCGGAUGCAGAGGUUUUUUUUGCACUGCUUAUUUUAAUAUUUGAUACUCUUUGGGGGGUGGGCCCAAGUAUUAAAGUGUUUAGUAUGCAAGAGGUUAAAAUUAGGACAGGCCCAUUCUACCAUUCAGUAAGUUCUCUUUCAAUAUGAAGAUGAGGCAUGCAAGGCAACAGAAUAAAAUUAGUUAGGAUUCCUAGUGCACAUGCCUGCAGAUAGAGGCAGGCACUCAUAUCCACUCCCCUCACAUGUACCUAUUUCGCCGUUCUCCAUGUGUCUGAUGUCUGGCCGCAGACGACAGUCAGUGGGAGCCAAUACUUCUUCCAUGCCCUUUUCUAGCUCAUUAAGACUGACAGCAAAACUGGUGAAAUUGUACAUCUUCAAUAAAAACAAGAGAAGGAAUAGAUUGUCAGCCUGCAUUGAAAUCUGACUCUCCGGUAAAGUUCUGCUAUGCUAUUCCACACCAGCACUACACAAGACGGUGAUGAUAAACAUCUGAUUCACAGCUGGCAACUCCCAAAAACAAACUGAUUAAGAUUUUAUCUCAGGUACAUUAAAAGCAGAUCUUGAUGCUUGGAGAUUUGUGAUCAACAGUGUGAAGAACAAGUGAGAAGCAAAAUGAAAAACUGAUUGUUUACAGAAGGAUUCUAUUAAAGGAUGUAUUAAAGUUUGAAUAGUCAGUGUA